GUUGUUCGGAAUUACUGGGCGUAAAGGGCGCGUAGGCGGCUGAGCAGGUCCGGUGUGAAAUCCCUCGGCUCAACUGAGGAAUUGCGCUGGAAACCGCUUGGCUCGUGUACAGGAGAGGAGGGCGGAAUUCCCGGUGUAGCGGUGAAAUGCGUAGAUAUCGGGAAGAACACCGGUGGCGAAGGCGGCUCUCUGGACCGUGAUUGACGCUGAGACGCGAAAGCGU
rnacentral:rRNA from 1 species